rnacentral:rRNA from 1 species
AUUGAACGCUGGCGGCAUGCCUUACACAUGCAAGUCGAACGGUAGAGGGGCAACCCUCGAGAGUGGCGAACGGGUGAGUAACGCAUCGGAACGUGCCCAGUAGUGGGGGAUAGCCCGGCGAAAGCCGGAUUAAUACCGCAUACGACCUACGGGUGAAAGCGGGGGAUCGCAAGACCUCGCGCUAUUGGAGCGGCCGGUGUCAGAUUAGGUAGUUGGUGGGGUAAAAGCCUACCAAGCCGACGAUCUGUAGCUGGUCUGAGAGGACGACCAGCCACACUGGGACUGAGACACGGCCCAGACUCCUACGGGAGGCAGCAGUGGGGAAUUUUGGACAAUGGGCGCAAGCCUGAUCCAGCCAUGCCGCGUGCGGGAAGAAGGCCUUCGGGUUGUAAACCGCUUUUGUCUGGGAAGAAAUCUUCUGGGUUAAUACCUCGGGAGGAUGACGGUACCUGAAGAAUAAGCACCGGCUAACUACGUGCCAGCCGCCGCGGUAAUAC